GCAGCCGCGGUAAUACGUAGGUGGCGAGCGUUAUCCGGAAUUAUUGGGCGUAAAGAGCGCGCAGGUGGUUGAUUAAGUCUGAUGUGAAAGCCCACGGCUUAACCGUGGAGGGUCAUUGGAAACUGGUCGACUUGAGUGCAGAAGAGGGAAGUGGAAUUCCAUGUGUAGCGGUGAAAUGCGUAGAGAUAUGGAGGAACACCAGUGGCGAAGGCGGCUUCCUGGUCUGUAACUGACACUGAGGCGCGAAAGCGUGGGGAGCAAACAGGAUUAGAUACCCG
rnacentral:rRNA from 1 species